UCCGUGUUAACCACGGCAGUCUCUCUAGAGAGCCCAACUGAAUGCUGGCAACUAAAGAUAAGGGUUGCGCUCGUUGCGGGACUUAACCCAACAUGUCACCACACGAGCUGACGACAGCCAUGCAGCACCUGUCAUCCGGUGGUAUUGCUACCAAAGCCGUAUUUCUACGGUUGUCCGGAGAUGUCAAACCCAGGUAAGGUUUUUCGCGUUGCUUCGAAUUAAACCACAUGAUCCACCGCUUGUGCGGGCCCCCGUCAAUUCCUUUGAGUUUUAGUCUUGCGACCGUACUUCCCAGGCGGGGUACUUAGUGCGUUAGCGCCGCCUCCGCGGGGGUCAAGACCCACGAAGGCUAGUACCCAUCGUUUACGGCGUGGACUAC
rnacentral:misc_RNA from 1 species